rnacentral:tRNA from 1 species
GACUACAUAGCUCAAUGGUAGAGCAACGGUCUUCGGAACCGGAGGUUGUGGGUUCGAAUCCCAUUGUGGUUG